GAUGAACGCUAGCGGGAGGCUUAAUACAUGCAAGUCGAGGGGUAACAUGAGAGCUUGCUCUUGAUGACGACCGGCGCACGGGUGAGUAACGCGUACACAAUCUACCUUUUAGUGGGGGAUAGCCUUUGGAAACGAAGAUUAAUACCCCAUAGUAUUGUUUUUUUGAUGAUUAAACAAUUAAAGCUCCGGCGCUAAAAGAUGAGUGUGCGUCCCAUUAGUUAGUUGGUAGGGUAACGGCCUACCAAGACGAUGAUGGGUAGGGGGCGUGAGAGCGUGACCCCCCACACGGGUACUGAGACACGGACCCGACUCCUACGGGAGGCAGCAGUAAGGAAUAUUGGACAAUGGGCGAAAGCCUGAUCCAGCCAUCCCGCGUGCAGGAUGACUGCCCUAUGGGUUGUAAACUGCUUUUAGAUAGGAAGAAACCCUCUGAUUUUUCAGAGGCUGACGGUACUAUCAGAAUAAGCACCGGCUAACUCCG
rnacentral:rRNA from 1 species